UACAGAGGUCCCAAGCGUUGUUCGGAUUCAUUGGGCGUAAAGGGUGCGUAGGUGGCGUCGUAAGUCGGGUGUGAAAUUUCGGAGCUCAACUCCGAAACUGCAUUCGAUACUGCGGUGCUUGAGGACUGGAGAGGAGACUGGAAUUUACGGUGUAGCAGUGAAAUGCGUAGAGAUCGUAAGGAAGACCAGUGGCGAAGGCGGCUCACUGGCCCGGUACUGACGCUGAGGCGCGAAAGCGUGGGGAGCAAACAGG
rnacentral:rRNA from 1 species